rnacentral:rRNA from 1 species
UACGGAGGGGGCUAGCGUUGUUCGGAAUUACUGGGCGUAAAGCGCGCGUAGGCGGCUUUGUAAGUUAGAGGUGAAAGCCCGGAGCUCAACUCCGGAACUGCCUUUAAGACUGCAUCGCUAGAAUCGUGGAGAGGUGAGUGGAAUUCCGAGUGUAGAGGUGAAAUUCGUAGAUAUUCGGAAGAACACCAGUGGCGAAGGCGACUCACUGGACACGUAUUGACGCUGAGGUGCGAAAGCGUGGGGAGCAAACAGGAUUAGAAACCCCCGUAGUCC